CCUGUCAUGCUGUUUGUUCUUUGUGUGUGUGGUUUUUUUUUAAAUAAAAAAAUUGUUUACUUUCCAGUGUCAUUUUAACUUGGUACUGGUAAGCAUCUGGCCUGGGUAUUUUCCAUUAGCAUCAAAAUUCAGAAGGCUACAGAAAGAAAUACCUAUAACCUAGCAGUGAGAGAGCCACUUCAUUACAUGGCCAGGCAAUAUGUCUUGCAUUUCUCUAGUGUAAAUAAAAUGAUGAUUCAAAGAAUGGUCCCCAUUAAUGAGUAUCUGAUUUAGAAUAAAAUAAAAUCCAUGCUGGGAAGUUGAUGAGCUUGAUUUUGCUGAAUUGCUUUGAGCAUGCAGCUUAUAUUUAUUGGUUCUUUCCUUUUGACAAUUGUCACCAGUUGUCUGCUGUUCUUUCUGCUGAGCAGAAAAGGAGAGGGCUUGAAGGUUGAUUUUAGUUCCCUGUAACUGGAGGUGACAUGUGAAAGCUCAAAGCUAUUGAAAAGCUGCAAAGCCUUCCACACACAGCUGCAGUAGGAGGGCAUAGGAAGUGGGUCAACACUUUUGGAGGACUGGGUGAAGUUCAGGAUCCUGAAGCCCUACUUUUGGUUGCCCAGUGUUCCUUCUAACAGUAAGGCCCCUCUGCUGCAGGACUGCUGGAUGUCCACUUCAGACACUGCUUUCCUGGGAAUCACCUGUGGGGCUGCAGAACAGGGGAGAGCUGAAUGUAGGCUCCAGCUGGAAAAUGGCAUUGAAGCCUGAUUGCUUGUUACUACUCAGAAUGCCAUCUACAUACACACACACACACACACACACACAAAGCAAUAAAG